CCUACGGGGGGCAGCAGUGAGGAAUAUUGGUCAAUGGACGAGAGUCUGAACCAGCCAAGUAGCGUGAAGGAGGACUGCCCUAUGGGUUGUAAACUUCUUUUAUAAAGGAAUAAAACGAGGCACGUGUGCCUUGUUGCAUGUACUUUAUGAAUAAGGAUCGGCUAACUCCGUGCCAGCAGCCGCGGUAAUACGGAGGAUCCGAGCGUUAUCCGGAUUUAUUGGGUUUAAAGGGAGCGUAGAUGGGUUGUUAAGUCAGUUGUGAAAGUUUGCGGCUCAACCGUAAAACUGCAAUUGAUACUGGCAGUCUUGAGUAGAGUUGAGGUAGGCGGAAUUCGUGGUGUAGCGGUGAAAUGCUUAGAUAUCGCGCAGAACCCCGAUUGCGAAGGCAGCUUGCUAAACUGUGACUGACAUUGAUGCUCGAAAGUGUGGGUAUCAAACAGGAUUAGAUACCCCUGUAGUC
rnacentral:rRNA from 1 species